UCUUCCAUGUCCAAGUAAUUUAAGAAAAAUAUUGGUCUUGUAAGCCAACAACGAAGGCAACACCCUUCCUAGGACA
rnacentral:tRNA from 2 species